UCGGACAUGGUGUAGGGUACACCGCCUCUCCUCUUACACUGUAGCCCGUGAACGGAGGCAGUCCGGGGUUCGACUCCCCGUGUCCGAA